AUGGCAAGGUACUUCUGGAGCAGUAACAUCGACAGGCGCUCGAUGCAUUGGCUUUCAUGGAAGAAGCUAGCUACCCCGAAAGAAGCAGGGGGAAUGGGAUUUCGGGACCUCGAGGCUUUUAACCUGGCCUUGCUGGGUAAGCAUGGCUGGAGGUUUAUGGUAUACCCUGAGAGCUUGUGCUCUCGAGUUAUGAAGUCUAGAUAUUUUCCAGAUACAAACUUUAUGGCUGCCACAAUCCCAAAGACGGCGUCACCUAUCUGGAGAGCGAUAGUUGCCGGCCGCAAGGCAUUGAAGCUUGGCCUGAUAAAGAGGGUGGGGGAUGGCUCCACGAUCUCCAUUUGGGAGGACAAGUGGAUCCCU
rnacentral:rRNA from 1 species